AUCCCUUCGUCUGAGGGUGUCUGUAGGAACUUUGGAUUGCUUAGUGCUACUCCGUUUGGGUUACGGAUCAGUCAGGAUAUAAAUUACGCUGGUGUGGGUUGCAACCUGAUUUUUCCCUGCACUGAUGAAGAUCUCUGGUUGUAUGAUAAAACGACUCCUCGCUUCAGCAGCAGGCCUCAGUGAGCUGUGGGGCAGACAAACUGGCUCCUGAGCGAUCAAAGUCUUCAGUGUGGUGUUUGACUUGUGAACCGUGGCCC
ensembl:lncRNA